rnacentral:rRNA from 1 species
ACGCUCGACACCUACGGGAGGCAGCAGUCGGGAAUAUUGCGCAAUGGAGGAAACUCUGACGCAGUGACGCCGCGUGCAGGAAGAAGGUUUUCGGAUUGUAAACUGCUUUAGACAGGGAAGAACAAAUGACAGUACCUGUAGAAUAAGCUCCGGCUAACUACGUACCAGCAGCCGCGGUAAUCUGAGCGGGCUGGCAAGGC